rnacentral:rRNA from 1 species
UACGUAGGUGACAAGCGUUGUCCGGAUUUACUGGGCGUAAAGAGCGCGCAGGCGGUCGAUCAAGUCGAGUGUGAAAGCCCCCGGCUCAACUGGGGAGGGUCAUUCGAUACUGAUCGACUCGAAGGCAGGAGAGGGUAGUGGAAUUCCCGGUGUAGCGGUGAAAUGCGUAGAUAUUGGGAGGAACACCGGUGGCGAAGGCGGCUACCUGGACCGGUACUGACGCUGAGGCGCGAAAGCUAGGGUAGCAAACAGG